rnacentral:rRNA from 1 species
UACGAGGGGUGCAAGCGUUGCUCGGAAUUAUUGGGCGUAAAGGGUGCGUAGGUGGCUUGUUAAGUCAGGGGUGAAAGUUUUCGGCCCAACCGGAAAAUGGCCUUUGAUACUGGCGAGCUCGAGUGCGUGAGGGGUAACCGGAACGAGCAGUGUAGCGGUGAAAUGCGUAGAUAUUGCUCGGAAGGCCAACGGCGAAGGCAGGUUACUGGUGCGCAACUGACACUGAGGCACGAAAGCGUGGGGAGCAAACAGG